CUCUGUUUCGAAAUGAUACAGGGCGGAAGGAG
rfam:Geobacillus caldoxylosilyticus NBRC 107762 DNA, contig: GCA01S004.